CUUGCCAUUAUGGCUGCCAGGGGCAAAGGAAAGGCGAACAUUUUGAACAGCAUGGAGAAAGCCGUAUGGGUGUUGGAAUGCUGCUUGCCCUGGGUGCGCCCUGUGGCUGUGGAUCGCCCAAGGCGGUGGACAUGCCAUGCAAGGCUCACUAUUGGCAAAGAAGUGAAGUCCUUCCUCUCCUGUGAGGACCAGCAGCACAUGGGAUUCCCAGGAAAACCGAAGCCCAGCUUAUGAAGGUGGACUUGCCAUUAUGGCCGCCACGGGCAAAGGAAAGGACAACAUUUUGUCCAGCAUGGCCAGAGUCAUGUGGGUAUCGGGACACAGCAUGGCCCUGAGUGCGCCCCACGGCUGUGUAUCACCCAAGGCGGCGCAUUGGCCAGUGAGUCUUGCAGUCACAAAGAAAGAAGACCUUCCUCUACUUCAGUGAGCAUCUGUGUGCAGCAGCCCCAAAGAGUUGUCACCCAGAAUGGGAACCACCCCUGGCGAUAUGUCAUGAUGGUGAACAUCCCAUGCAAGGCUCACCAUUGGUGCAGAAUCGAAGCCCUUCCUCUCCUGUGAGGACCAGCUGCUUGCAGGAGUCCCAGGCAAACCAAGGCCCAGCUCACAAAGACGCAUUGGCCAGUGAGUCUCACGGUCCCAAGGAAGACUUUCCUCUGCUUUGGUGAGCAUCCGUAUGCAGCAGCUCCGAAGAGUUGUCGCCCAGAGUGGGAACCACCCCCGGCAAUGUCUCGC